GUUUGACCUCAAAUCAGGUAGGAGUACCCGCUGAACUUAAGCUAUC
rnacentral:rRNA from 1 species